rnacentral:rRNA from 1 species
CGGGAUUCGUUUCGUUUUCCCGGAUUAUUUGUAUUCAAAUCCCACUCUUUAUAAAUAUAUUAAUUAUAUAAAACAAAAUAAGAAAGAAAACUUUCAACAACGGAUCUCUUGGCUCUCGCAUCGAUGAAGAACGCAGCGAAAUGCGAUACGUAGUGUGAAUUGCAGAAUUCCGUGAAUCAUCGAAUCUUUGAACGCAAAUUGUACUUUCCAGUAAUCUGGGAAGUAUGCUUGGUUGAGGGUCAUUAUAAUAACAUUCGUGAAUUUUUCGCGGAUUUGAGUUUUCCAGUAUUUAAUAUAAAAAUGUUGGUAACUUUAAAAUUAUUUAUUACUUGGUACAAGUUGAAAACGUACUAUAUGUGUGGUUCGCUGACGACUUGUCCAUCUUCAUAUAUUAUGCGCGCACUUGGUUUUUUACGCUCUAUGUGUGUAUAUAUUUUUUUUAUGACCUCAGCUCAAGCAAGAAUACCCGCUGAACUUAAGCAUAUCAAUA